GACGAACCGUGCGAACGUUGUUCGGAAUCACUGGGCUUAAAGGGCGCGUAGGCGGCCCGCCAAGUCCGGGGUGAAAUCCCGCGGCUCAACCGCGGAAGUGCCUGGGAUACUGGCGGGCUCGAGGGGGGUAGGGGCGGGCGGAACUUCCGGUGGAGCGGUGAAAUGCGUUGAUAUCGGAAGGAACGCCGGCGGCGAAGGCGGCUACCUGGACCGGUUCUGACGCUGAUGCGCGAAAGCGUGGGUAGCAAACAGG
rnacentral:rRNA from 1 species